rnacentral:miRNA from 1 species
UAAUGAUGAUGAUGAUGAUAAUGAUGAUGAUGAUGAUGGCGGUCGUAAUUCACCAUCACGUUCAUCAUUAAAUCAAUAUAUUUU